rnacentral:rRNA from 1 species
GCUAUAGGGCGCUUGGGCCUUAGAUGAUGCUCAAGCGGCCGCUGUGUGAUGGAUAUCUGCUGAGUUCGACCUUGCGAAUCCGCGGCCGCUGCAGAGUUUGAUCCUGGCUCAGGAUGAACGCUGGCGGCAUGCCUAACACAUGCAAGUCGAACGGACAACUUAGGGUGUAAGUGGAGAAAGGGUGAGUAAAGAGUAGGAAUAUAAAAAUGGGAGGGGAAUAAAAGAUGGAAAAGGAUGAUCAUUAAAAAUAAAGGAGAAGAUGAAAGGAGAAAUAAGAAAAGGGAUGAGAAUGAGUAGGAUUAGAUAGUUAGUGGGGUCAUGGAAUAAAAAGGAGCAGAUAAGUAGAGGGUAUGCGCGGGUGGCCCGCCCAUAUGGGGAAGCGGAGAGGCAAAGUAUCAUUAGGGGGGACGACGUGG